CCAGGUAGCUCAGUUGGUAGAGCAGAGGACUGAAAAUCCUCGUGUCGGCGGUUCGAUUCCGUCCCCC
rnacentral:tRNA from 1 species